GCACUCCCCGAUUUCCCUGCCCUUCUCCCUCCAUGUUGGGCUGGCACAUGGGCAGUGCUACAGCGAUGCAAGGUAUAUCCAGAUGGGCUUCCUCGCUCGAUUGGGGCUUGUCUCUACAGCCUUGAUACAGAA
ensembl:snoRNA